rnacentral:rRNA from 1 species
UACGAAGGGGGCUAGCGUUGUUCGGAAUUACUGGGCGUAAAGCGUGCGUAGGUGGUUCGUUAAGUCUGAUGUGAAAGCCCUGGGCUCAACCUGGGAAUGGCAUUGGAAACUGGCGACCUAGAGUGCGGUAGAGGGCAGUGGAAUUCCCGGUGUAGCAGUGAAAUGCGUAGAGAUCGGGAGGAACAUCUGUGGCGAAGGCAGCUCUCUGGGACGGUACUGACGCUGAGACGCGAAAGCGUGGGGAGCGAACAGG